UGAAAGACAUGGGUAGUGAGAUGUUCAUUUUUAAGCAUCUCACUACCUUGUCUUUGACG
rnacentral:pre_miRNA from 1 species